UCAGCUAAAUUAUCUGACUUGGUAAGUUGACUUUUUCUGGCAUGGACUUAGCUUGAAUCCACUGGUGAAGCCACCCAAAAGAAACACUAACUUAGUAAUUUUAGGACCAGUAUACCUAUAGAUUACUUUUCUUUGUGAGCAGAUCAGUCAUUGCAUUUUAGUAUUCUAGUGUUAAAGAUGUAUGGUGGGUUCUACAAAAAAAUAAUAGUAUGUAGUAGGUAUAUGGAUAGAUUUCAUUGUAUGCUAGAGUAAUGACUAGUGUUUGAACUAGAGAUGGAGUGUCUAGGGAAUUUCCAAUCACAAUAUGUGCACAUCAAGAGUUCGUUUUGUGUCCUUGUCUUUUUGUAUUAGUGAUAGGUGAACCUAACGGAAAUAUCCAAAAUAAGGUUCCCUUGGUGCAUAUUAUUUGCAGAUGAUAUUAUUUUAAUUUGAGGAAACUAGAGGUGGAGUCUAAGUUAGGAUUAUGGAGAGAAGCUUUAACACUCAUUUCCCAUGCGAUUACGGGUCUAUCCACAGAGGUCUUUGCCAGUAUUGAAAAAAUACAACAACAACAAUAAAAUCAAACCUUAAAUCCACUAGGUGGGUCAGUUAUAUGAAUCCUUUUUAGCCAAUUUAUGCAAUCAUGAACAAUUUCUUUUGACAGAUUUAGGACUAUUAAAUCGUUACUAUCUUUUUCCAAGUUAUUUUAGGUCUACCUCUACCCCUUCUACUGCCCCCCACAGUAACUAACUCACUCUUUCUCAUUAGUGCACUAUGUGACCUACGUUGCAAGUGUGAAUACCAUUUGAAUCGUCCCUCCCUCAUCUUCUAUAGGAGCUACACCUAACUUACCGCGAAUGAUUAAACUUAAUGGUCAAGAAAUUUAUAGAAUAAGAGAUUUUUAUUCCUCGGAUCGUGAAGUUGUAUUAUGUAGAAUUAAAAUUAAGUUGGGUAAAAUGGAAAAUGCUUUUGGCUUGUUGUUUGAUUUUGUAGAAUACCCUUAAAAUUAAAAUGAAAGUUUUACAAGAUGACUAUAAAAUGAGCUAUGCUAGAUGGUUUAGAGUCUUUAGACUAUUGGGCAACUAAGAACCAUAUCCAAAAAGUGGUUGCUGAAAUGAGAAUGCUAAGGUGGAUGAGUGGUAUGACUCUAAAUAUUAAUAAAGAAACGAACAUAUUCAUUCUUAGGCAUAGCACCUGUAUUAAUAAGGGAGGGGUGGCAGAGGUGGUUUGGGCAUGUGCAGCGUAGGCCAAAUAAUGCACUACAAAGGAGGGCUAAGUGGUAGUGGAAUAGAAGGGGGAGGGGUAGAUUUGGAAUGAGUUAGUAAGGAUUUAAUAGCCCUUCUUUUAUCAGAGGUUGCCCAAGAUCGGGUAGAUUGAUAGAAACAGAUUCAUGUUGCAAGCCACCCAGUGGACUUAAGGCUUGGUUGUUGCUGCUGCUGUUGUACUAUAAAAGAUACUGUGGUCUUUUAGUAAUUCUGAUUAGAAAGUUGAUGCUUAUAAAUGGGAUGUAGGAGGCUUAUGUAAUGAAUUUUUUUUUUCAUGCACUUUGAAACCCAUCUUACCCAUUUGUCACAUAAGUAGCUGUGAUGGCAUCCUUGAAUUCGGUUAGCUGUAGACAGCUUCCUCGAGUUCAUCAGUUUGAACUUGCUGAAGGAAUGCAACUUCAGAUCAAUAUCUUAGGAUCUUCAAGUGGUUGCAAUGCAAAAAUUGAGCUUCAACUUAAGAAUUGUUCAAGGACAUGGAUUCUUCAUUGGGGCUGCACUUACGGUGGAAAUAAGAACUGGGUCAUUCCUGCUAAUCAUUCUUCAUCUCCAGGGACAAAAAUUUAUAAGCAGACUGCAAUGCAAACACCAUUUAUGAAGAGUGGAGAAAUUUAUUCUAUAAUGAUUGAGUUGCAAGACCCUAAAGUACAUGCUAUUGAAUUUGUUCUGAAAGAUGGCAUGCAUGAUAGAUGGUUGAAACUAAACCGAGGGAAUUUCCAAAUUGAGAUACCUGAAUGUGAUGCAACUACCUCUCAUUUAUCCAUACCAAAGGAUCUGAUAGAACGCCAUGCCUAUUUACUCUGGGAGAAGAAAGGCAGGCCAAUGAGAUCUCAACAACAACAAAAGAAAGAUUAUGAUGAUGCUCUUAGAGAGCUCCAAUUUCAGUUGUCCAAUGGAAUUUCUGUCAAUGAGUUGCAAAGUAGUUUUCAAACUGCAAGCCCCAUAACAUUGGCCAUUAAUAAAGAACAACCAAGCCGAAUACAAAACAGUUACUGUAGGAAAUGUGAUGUCAGUCAGUGGUUGCUGAAACAUUCUGAGGGAGAUUCCAAAAGUACCACUUUUCCAUUCUCAGAUCUAAUGAAUGUUGUGGAGAAGUCCUUGGGAGGAGAUGAAGUGAUACUGCAUCAAAGCUACCAUGUUGGCAGUUAUGAAAUAGCGGUGCUCCUCAAGAUUGUUAAUGGUGACCUUCACGUAUUAGUUGCUGCAAACAUGAAAGCUGUGGCAGUGCUUCACUGGGGCAUAUCAAAGAUGUCUCCUGGGGAAUGGUUGUCCCCUCCACAAGACAUGUUACCAGAAAAAUCAAAGCUGCUUGAUGGAGCGUGUCAGACUUACUUCAAAGCCAUAUCAACUGAUAGAGGAUUCUUUCAGUUUGUAGAUAUUAAUUUGCAGCAAAGGAAUUUUGUGGGUGUCCAAUUUGUCAUCUGGUCAGGUGGAUCUUGGAUAAAAAAUAAGGGGGCAAAAUUUUUUGUUGGUCUAAAAACAGAAAAUCCAAGCACAAAGGUUGAAGUCAGUGGAAAAGAUACUGUCAAAUGGUUGCUCGAUGAAAUUUCUCGAAGAGAGAAAGAGGCUGAGAGGUCAUUGAUGCACAGGUUCAACAUUGCAGCAGAGCUGACUGAACGGUGUAAAAGUGAGGGGGAGCUGGGGCUUGUUGGUAUAUUGGUCUGGUUGAGAUUCAUGGCAUGCAGACAACUUACAUGGAAUAAGAACUAUAACGUGAAACCUCGUGAAAUAAGUGAAGCUCAAGAUAAGUUUACAAAUUUACUGCAAAGAAUAUAUUCAAGUCAAUCAAACGUCCGAGAACUUGUUAGAUUGAUAUUGGGAUGUGUUGGCCGAGGAGGGCAAGGUGAUGCUGGACAGAGAAUUCGUGAUGAAAUACUUCUUGUUCAGAGAAGUAACGAUUGUAAGGGUGGUAUGAUGGAAGAAUGGCACCAGAAGUUGCACAAUAAUAGUAGCCCAGAUGAUGUGAUAAUUUGUCAGGCACUUUUGAAUUAUGUAAGAUCUGGUUUUAAAAUUGAUGCUUAUUGGCAAACAUUAAAUGCAAAUGGUCUCACAAAAGGCAUACUUGCAAGUUAUGAUCGCCCAAUUGUGUCCGAGCCUCAUUUUAGAGCUAACACCAAAGAAGGACUCAUCCGCGAUCUUACAUCAUACUUGAAGACAUUAAAGGCUGUUCACUCAGGAAUUGACCUUGGAUUUUCUAUUGAAACAUGCUUGGAAUUAUCUUCCAAGGGUCACAAUUUUAUGAGCGCAACAAGUGGUGCUUUUGAUGGUGGUUUAUCGCUAAAGUUGCAGGACUACUUAUGCUUUGUCAGAGUGCAUCUUGGCGAUAAGAAGAUUGGGCCAUUGAUGGAGAAGUUACUGGACUCCCGGAUUGAGCUUCGGCCUCUUCUGCUAGCCUCCCAUGGAAGAUUGAAAGAUUUGCUUUUCCUUGAUCUUGCUUUGGAUUCAACUGUUAGAACAACUAUGGAAAGGGGAUUAAAAGAUUUGAACUUUGAACAUUUGCCAGAAGUGCUGUAUUUUAUUUCACUGGUCCUUGAAAACUUAUGCUUAUCAUCAGUCAACAAUGAAGGUCUCAUUUGCUGUCUUAAGGAUUGGUACCAUGUGUGCGAAUCAUACAAACCCAAAGACAUCCAGUGGGCAUUACAAACAAAGGCUGUUCUUGAUCGAAUACAACUAGCACUCUCUGAUAGAUCUCAGUAUUACCAGAGAAUGAUUCAGCCUAGUGUGCAAUAUCUUGGCACUUUGCUAGUUGUGGAGAAAUGGGCUAUUGAUAUUUUUACAGAAGAGUUAGUGAGGGCAGGAUCAGCUUCAACCCUGUCUCUGCUUCUUAACCGUUUGGACCCUAUUCUUCGAAACCUUGCAAAUCUUGGUUGUUGGCAGGUUAUCAGCCCAGCAGAAGCAUGCGGCUUCAUUUUUGUUGUUAAUGAGUUAAUUACCACUCAGAGCAACAUUUAUAAGAAACCAACAGUAAUUGUUGCAAACAAAGUAACUGGAGAAGAAGAGAUUCCAGAGGGGGUGGUUGCUGUGCUGACACCAGAUAUGCCAGACAUUCUCUCUCAUGUAUCUAUUAGAGCAAGAAACAAUAAGGUAUGCUUUGCCACAUGUUUUGAUUUGAAUGUUCUAAGGGAUCUCAAGUCGAAGGAAGGUAGAGCAAUAUCAAUACAACUGAAGUCCAAAAAUUUGAUAAUCAGUGAUGUCAGUAGCUCCAGUUUACUUUUUAAUUCUUUUGUUUCACCCUUUCUUCCUCGAGGAGUCACGUUUAGAAAGAAGAUUUUCUUUGGUAAAUAUGCUAUUUCACUCGAGGAGUUCACCAGUGAAAUGGUUGGUGCAAAAUCUUGCAAUAUUAAAUUUUUAAGAGGGAAGGUGCCAUCGUGGAUUAAGGUUCCGAUGUCAAUUGCCCUACCAUUUGGAGUCUUUGAGACAGUUCUGGCUGAGAGCAUCAAUAAGGAUCUGGCAAACAAAAUCUUUUGUUCAUAUAAACUUGUACAUAAUGGUGACCAUUCAAAACUUAAAGUGAUACAAGAAGCUGUUCUACAAUUGAAAGCUCCUUCUUGUUUGGUCUAUGAACUUAAGAGCAAAAUGAGAAGUUCAAGGAUACCCUGGCCUGGUGACGAAGGUGAGGAGAGGUGGAAUUGUGCUUGGCAAGCAAUAAAAAAGGUUUGGGCUUCCAAGUGGAAUGAAAGAGCAUAUGUUUGCUGUAAGAAAGCAAAUAUGAACCAUGGCAACCUUUGCAUGGCUGUUUUGAUCCAAGAAAUUAUUACUGCCGAUUAUGCUUUUGUAGUGCACACAAGGAAUCCUUUAACUGGGGACAUGUCAGAGAUAUAUGCAGAGAUUGUGAAGGGUUUGGGAGAGACUCUAGUGGGUGCCUAUGCUGGGCGAGCCUUGAGCUUCAUCACUAAGAAAGGCAAUCUCAAAUAUCCUACGGUUACUAGUUACCCAAGCAAACAAAUAGGAUUGUAUAGUAAGCGAACCAUUAUAUUCAGGUCAGAUUCCAAUGGUGAGGACCUCAAAGGAUUCGCGGGUGCUGGGCUCUAUGACAGGAUGACGAGACAUUUCGGGCUUGCUGGGAGCGAUUCAAGGAUCUACUAAGCACUUGUCCACAUCAUGGGUUCGACUCAUGGAGGUUAGUUGAUUGUUUUUAUAUAGCUCUUACCCCUGAUUGCAAGUGUUUUGUCCAGAUUAUGUUUAAUGGAGAGCCCGUCAGCGAGGAUCCAGAUCAGGUAUUAUCAUUCUUUGAUUACUUAGCUGACAAUGUCCCACAGUGCAACACAUGAUACACUCAGGCACCCAUGACUGCACAUCCUAUCAGCACAAUUAGUGGUGAUGAUGCAUAUGAACCACCAGAAUACCCAGAUAUUCCUCCGCCUCAUUACCAGCCACAAUAGAUCCCUCAGAGCUGUAUGCCAUUAGAAUUUUUGGAGGAUAGCAUAACACAGAUGGCAAACAUGCUCCAACAAUUUAUGCAAACUCAAGUUGAUCAUAAUAAUGAAUUGCAGGAUACCAUUAACGCGAUAAGCACACAGUUGGACAUCUUAGAAAACGAGGAAACACUCGCAGAACUUCAGCCUAGUUCUCAAGAGUACCAGCAACCGCAACAACAAAUACAUUAUGUUUCUCUUGAGACAACAGAGGCCACCAUCACCUUUAGUAGCGAGAAAGACGACCCCCAAUCUGAAAUGCUCAUCGUCGGACAAAUAGUUGUCCCAGCACCGGAAGUUACGGCUGAAAUAGAUGAAUUCAAAGAAAAAUCAGAGGAAACGAGCCCAAAAGCGGAGCAUUUAGUUGAUGAGGAGACUGAUACUCAUACGGAGUACCAACCUGUGGUACCUCAUACUCCGAGCUCAGAAACCGUGGAACCGUCACUCCCACCUAAAUCAGAUGUUAAGGAGCCUAAUGUGGAGGUAGACUCUUGCAGUGGUAUGAUGAUAUGUACACCAGAUAAAGAGAGUGACCAGUCUGGUAUAACGACUAAUCGAUUGUGGCAGCUCAAAUUUGGAGAACCGCCAUUACAAUUUAUAGACCUGCGGCCACCAGACAAAAUUCCUCCAGAGCCUCCGCCAGACAAUUGUGAUGUUUUUCUUUUCGUUCUUGUCCUUUUAUUUUAUCUUAUUUUAUUUUAGUUAGUUUUCAGGUCUAUUUUCUCGUAGUUCGUUCUUUGUUUUUCAUUAUUUCACCACUCAGGUUUACUUUUUCCGUGCACAGUAUUUUCUAUUUCCACUAUGCUUUCACAUUGAGGACAACGUUCCACUUUAGUUGGGGGGAUGAGCAUUCGCAUGUGACACUGUGCACGUACACGUACUGGGUUUAAAAAAAAUAAAAAAUAAAAACAAAGAACAAAAAACAAAAAAAUAAAAAUAAAAAAAAUCAAAAAAUCAAAAAGAGAGAAAGAAAGGAGGAGCACUGAGGAAUUACAUUACAUUAUGUCAUGCUUAACACUGACUCAUACCUUUCACAUACUUGUGUAUAACUUAAGAAUGACACACUUGAGUCAAUCAUGCGUAGUUUUCUCUUUAUAUGAUCUUAUGACUCCAUGAAAAAUCGAUUGGUAGUACAUUCGUGUUAAUUUAACUAUAUAAUUUCCUGUAUUUACACGGCAUCUCACGAGGCUGAAUAAACACAUUCACGUGAUUCAUUGCACUUAGGGUUCCUUGUGAGCACUGAGAGAACACCCGUGGAGACUAUGACACCUUGUGAGAUAUCCUUGAGCUAUUUAUCCUCCUUUUGAGCAUUAAUAUUAAAUUAGAGUUCACAGAACUCAAUUCUAUUUUUUUUUGGAUGAUUCCUUGUACACUAGUCUUUGUUUUUGAUUUGCUAACUUAGAGGUGACACCUAGUGGGGAGAUAGAAACCUAGGUCUUGUAGCCUACUCAAAAUGUGAAGGUUAAGCCACCCCUAGAGAUAGACUUAGUUCAUAGACCACUAUUCGAGCUUAAUUCCCAUUGAUGGUAUGAAGAUUACAAAAAAAAGUGUUGUGAUUGUCCUAAUUGAUCAAGAAAAGAAAAAAAAUGAAGAAUGAGCAGAAGAAAGAAUAAGCAACACACAUGCGCAUGAAAUGAAAAGUCAAUGCUGACCCAAUUACAUAUCACAAAAAGUCAAGGACGACACAUAUUUUCCACGUAUGAAGAUUCUUCAACCGAUUAAUGCCUCAGAUGUAUUCACGACAAGUUUGUGAGUAAGUUGAUCUAGGGUGGUCUCAGUUGGAUAUGGCGAGUAUGUGAGAAGAUGCUAGAGUGAAGGACCCGACACCUCAUAGAUAGGCUAGAUCCUUUCCAGACUAGUCCACUCCAUAUACUUAGUAUUGUUCCUUUUAAUAUGUAGGAUGUUUGAUCGCGACACUCCUCCUCACAUGUGAUGAGUGAACCCAUUUUCUUUGAGUAUUUUUUAGGGUAUACCAAUUAGGCCGAGUCAAAGCGACCGUUCUGUAGGUAUACACUGGCGUCCUAGGUGUACUGAGUCACACACAUCACACACACCUCGAGAGUUUACCUGUUUAUACUCGAACUUAUAUGAUUGCAUUAACUCUGAAUAUGCCACUAAUUAACUUCAUGUGAGUAUACUACUUUCAAAUCACAUAUAAACGAUGAAACUUGCAUGGGUGACGUGUUUUGGAGUCGUGUGCAUUGAAUAUGAACGAGCUUGUGUGAAAUUCAGUUAUGUUCUUGUAUGUGAAAUGGUAUACUAUUGCUGCAUGUGCAUUGAUUUCAUGAUUACUGGAGUAUAUAGUUGUAGAUACCACCCUAAGAUUCAUUCACGUCAUUUGUUAGAGACUAGCAAAACGUUAGUUGGGGGGUGUGAUUACGCGCCGAAACUGCGUAAUUGGACGUUUAACCCGAGUUUUACGGUUUAUAUUUUUAAUUAAAUGUCCAAAAUUGUCCAAUAUUUUAAUAAAAUGCCAAAAUCAUCAUUCUUGAACUUUAUUACACUAUUUAUGAGAAUUUGGUAAUUUUUUGUCGCAGGAAAAUUCUCGGGAAUCAAAACCGACACCUGUUCGUAUUUUAUGCAUAACUUUUUCGUCCGAGUUCCGAUCGAGUCGAUUCAAAUUUCUAGAGAAAGAGGAAAGGAUCAUCUACAACUUUUGUAUUUUGAGUUUUAUGAGAUACGGGUUCUAGAAUAGUCAGAUUUG